ACGGAGGGAGCAAGCGUUACUCGGAAUUAUUGGGCGUAAAGGGCGCGUAGGCGAUCCGACAAGUCUGGUGUGAAAGCCCACAUGUUAACUGUGGAAGUGCAUUAGAAACUGUUGGAUUUGAGUUCAGGAGAGGAAGGCAGAAUUUCCGGUGGAGCGGUGAAAUGCGUAGAGAUCGGAAAGAACACCAACGGCGAAGGCACUCUGCUGGGCCGACACUGACACUGAGAGACGAAAGCUAGGGGAGCAAAUGGGA
rnacentral:rRNA from 1 species